rnacentral:rRNA from 1 species
CUACGGGGGGCUGCAGUGAGGAAUAUUGCACAAUGGGGGGAACCCUGAUGCAGCAACGCCGCGUGGAGGAUGACGCAUUUCGGUGUGUAAACUCCUUUUAUAUGUCAAGAAAAUGACGGUAGCAUAUGAAUAAGCACCGGCUAACUCCGUGCCAGCAGCCGCGGUAAUACGGAGGGUGCAAGCGUUACUCGGAAUCACUGGGCGUAAAGGACGCGUAGGCGGGUUGGAAGGUCAGGUGUGAAAUCCUACAGCUUAACUGUAGAACUGCACUUGAAACUUCUAAUCUAGAGUAUGGGAGGGGGAGAUGGAAUUAGUGGUGUAGGGGUAAAAUCCGUAGAUAUCACUAGGAAUACCUAAAGCGAAGGCGAUCUCCUGGAACAUUACUGACGCUAAGGCGUGAAAGCGUGGGGAGUAAACAGGAUUAGAUACCCCGGUAGUC